UAAAGCUUCAAACUGGGAUUAGAUACCCCACUAUUCUUGACUGUAAAUCUAAUAAAAUUUACCAGAGUACUAUGAAUAUUAUAAAAAUUUAAAACUCAAAGGGCUUGGCGGUGUUUUAGACCUAUCAGGGGAACCUGUCUCAUAAUCGACAAUCCGCGUUGAACCUGACCCUAUCUUGUAUCCAGUUUGUAUACCGUCGUCGUCAGGUAACUUUUAAAAAACUAGAAGUUAGCAAUAAAAAUUUUUUGAAUUAAAACGUCAGAUCAAGGUGCAGCUAAUGAUAGGGCGAGGAUGGGUUACAAUUAUUUAAUUCAUAAUUACGGAAAACUAUAUGAAAUAUAGUUUGAAGGAGGACUUGAAAGUAAAAUAAAAUAUAUAAGCAAUUUGAAUACGGCUCUGAAACGUGCACACACCGCCCGUCACCCUCCUGCAGUCAA
rnacentral:rRNA from 1 species